UAAACCUCGUCCUGUGGAAAACUUCAUUUCUCUGGGACAGGGAGGCAAAUCUCAUCCUCCGAAACCAUCACCUCACAGACCUCAAGGACACUUGCUUUCACAGAGAGCACAUCUACACGUCCAUGGUGGCUUUUCUCCAAUGGAGAAAAUCAAGGCUUGGUUUUGUUCUUAGUAGGAAUAGCUAUAUGCACAGUUAUGUCAUGAUGGGGAUGCACUUUGCAAAUGUGUUGCCAGAAGAUUUUAGCAUUGUGUGAGUAUCACAGAAUGCAUUAUGACAUCAUGGGGGGAGGGAAGGUCUUAUGAGGCCAGCGGUACAUGCAGUCCAUUGUUGGUUGAAACACUGUCAUGAAAUGCAUGGCUUUAUAUGGAUAUGUGUGUACUGAAAUGUCACAAAGCCUAUCAUCCAGCCUAAAAGUGGGCUGAACACUCGGCUCCUUCCCCCAUACUGCAACUGUCUGUGGAUCUAGAAGGUUCUGGAAAAUGGCUUCCUCCUCAGAUGUCCAACACGCAUUUGCUGAAAACUUUUGGAGACAUUCUUCUUUCAGGCAAUGUGACUCAUCCCCAGCCCGGCAGCCAGAACAACAAGGAGGACCCACAGAGAAGCUGACCAGCAGAAGGCAGCUGAACCCAAGAAUGGCUGACCCUCACUCUCCCUGAGACAGACAGUUCCAGCAUGCAGAAGCAAAGCUUCUUCUGCAGUUGGCUUUCCUGUGCCACAUAAUCAUGACUCAGCCUCUCUCUGACAGCUCCCAGGUUUACCGGCCUAAUGGCAGCUCUCCCACAAACAUAGACGGGCCUGCUUCUUCUCUCCCUCUCUACUUCUAUGUGGGUCUGGCCCAUAAAACUCACUUCAGUACCAA